rnacentral:misc_RNA from 1 species
UGAUUACGUCCCUGCCCUUUGUACACACCGCCCGUCGCUACUACCGAUUGGAUGACUUAGUGAGGUCUUAGGACCGAAGUGAUGGAGCUUUCAUUAGUUCUUUCGCUUUGGAAAUUUGAUCGAACUACGUUAUCUAGAGGAAGUAAAAGUCGUAACAAGGUUUCCGUAGGUGAACCUGCGGAAGGAUCAUUAACGAGCGAUAUAAAAAAUUAUAUUCAUUACCAGCAGCAUGACGGAGAGAGGAAAAUGCGCUCUCCAGCUGCUGGUCAUUGAUGCUGCCAGACCUGAUGGGAAACGCGGUAGGCGCUUUAUAUAAUGCGCAAAGUCCGUCCAUCAGGCUGCUGGAAUUAGCAGCGAGUGGCGGCUGACUGACCGCUGAUAGAAGCUACACAAGCUUAGUCUCAGCUUUCUGGUCACAAGACUGCGUGGGUGUGUUGGUUGUAGUCAGGCUACCCAAUCUCCCGGGAUUGCAGUGUGACCGGAGGGUGUGCGUGAGUUUUCGCGCCGAGCGAGUCUAAGGGAAAAUAUUAGCUAAUAUCAGUACGGGGCACACACUCCAGGCUAAUACGUGUACAGACGUUCGGGAUUAAGUGAUUGAGCGAGUAACGGGGAAAAUCCUUACCGUGAAUAGCUCAUUGCUUGAUUCUUCUUCGGGUAUCUAUCAGCACUAACGCUACAGUUCCGUCUGGCUGUAAAGAAACGCGUCAGUGCUGGAAUCCAUCAAUCACCCUACAGUGGACUGGUAAAAAAGGACCAGUCUGCUGAUGGGUAGGUGGUGAGGUUUAAAGAGUCGUUGGCUCCAAUCUAUCGAUACUCAAAUCAGCUGGUGAAAGUUCAGCUCGAUGCGAGGGUAAAUUGGAGCGACUGUGUUCGGACACUGAGGGAAAAUUCAUGUCACUCAGUUCGGAUCAGUUCUGGGCGUUCUGUGUCGUUGCUUGAUUGCGCGCGCGGGACGUCCGGCCGACCGCCCGGAAUAAAAACCAAUACUAUAAAAAGCUAAUAUUCUUACUCUGAGUGAAAGUCAGAGAAAGUAUAUCUAUAAAGAUCAUUUCCCC